AGAGUUUGAUCAUGGCUCAGAACGAACGCUGGCGGCGUGGAUAAGACAUGCAAGUCGAGCGAGAUUUUUCGUUGUAGCAAUACGAUGGAAAGUCUAGCGGCGAACGGGUGCUUAACACGUGGGCAACCUGCCAUGAAGUGGGGGAUAGCUCGCCGAAAGGCGAAUUAAUACCGCAUGUGAUUAGAGAGGACAUCCUUUCGAAAUUAAAGUCGGGGCAACCUGACGCUUCUUGUGGGGCCCGCGGCCUAUCAGCUAGUUGGUGAGGUAACGGCUCACCAAGGCUUUGACGGGUAGCUGGUCUGAGAGGACGACCAGCCACACUGGGACUGAGACACGGCCCAGACACCUACGGGUGGCAGCAGUCGAGAAUUUUUGACAAUGGGGGAAACCCUGAUCGAGCGACGCCGCGUGGAGGAUGAAGGUCUUCGGAUUGUAAACUCCUGUCAUUUGGGAACAAGGUGCACACGUUAACUGCGUGUGCAUUGAUAGUACCAGAAGAGGAAGAGACGGCUAACUCUGUGCCAGCAGCCGCGGUAAUACAGAGGUCUCAAGCGUUGUUCGGAUUCAUUGGGCGUAAAGGGUGCGUAGGCGGCGCGGUAAGUCGGGUGUGAAAUCUCGGAGCUUAACUCCGAAACUGCAUUCGAUACUGCCGUGCUUGAGGACUGGAGAGGAGACUGGAAUUUACGGUGUAGCGGUGAAAUGCGUAGAUAUCGUAAGGAAGACCAGUGGCGAAGGCGGGUCUCUGGACAGUUCCUGACGCUGAGGCACGAAGGCCAGGGGAGCAAACGGGAUUAGAUACCCCCGUAGUCC
rnacentral:rRNA from 1 species